UUAUUAUCAAAACGCGUUUUCCCCCUCUCUCAUCUCUUUUCCUUCUCUGCAUUUCAACCCUCAAUCCAUCUAUUCCAGUUUUCCUUCACCGAUGUCGUUCCUGCAUUCCGCGAUCGACCUUCUCUCAGCCUCUGGCUGCGCCGCCACCUAACUGACAUCGCCGCGCCUCCGUUCGUGAAUGACCUUCUCUCAGGCUGCGCCUCCAUUCAUCGACACCAUACCUCCGCUCUGCGUUUUCACUGCGUGCCGUAAGUCUCCAUCUCGCGACCACAACUCCCAGCCGCUCCGAUCAUGGCCACUCCAACCGGCCAAUCUAGCUUCUCCUUCUCAAGGGUGAAAUUGUGUUUCUGCCUUCUUAGUGUCUGAAGCUUCUCAGCCUUAGCACCAUUCGACAACACUCAGUCAGGUAUUUACUCGCGAAAUCUGCAAGGGAGCAAGGUCCCCCACUGAGAAUUAUCGCCGGAGCUUCUUCUCGCUCUGCUUCUGUAACUUAGUUAGAAUCCUUCAAAUCCCCGAUUUCGAUUGUGGAUGACAAAGUAUGAGUCUACACGCACAGUGAGUAAUGAUCAGUUUAGAACAUUGGAGGCUGAAAAAUGCAAUCCCGCCGCUGCUAAUCACAGCCACACUGAGCCGCCGCCAUGGUCCUUCAACCCAUCUCUUCUUCCUUAAUUUUGGAACGCUAAAAAUUGAAUCCCGUUAAUUUCUCCGUUAUAACGUGCGGCAACUUACUGAGGUGUUUGAACGAGAAGAACAUUCAGGGUAUUCCAUGGGAGAGCUUGAACAUCACAAAAUAUGAUGGAAGAAUGAGCAUAGGAAGAGUCAUACACAGUUUGGAGAAGGUCAUAGCUGGAGUAUCUAUUAAUAUAGUCACCCGAACAUACAUAUGGGAGACAGAAGCUCAACAAUUCGCAGACAUAGAGAGGAGACUAGCCCACCGAUCAGGGCGCACACAUCAACCUCAAGGUCAAGGGCCAGAUUGAUGGAUGUACCAGUAUUUAAUGCUAUAAGUUUCUAAUUGACGCUACUCUGAGAUUAUGAGCCUCUAAGCAAUGAUUCAUGCUAUUCAGUCUCACUGUCAUAAUUUGUUGCAGCAAGAGAGGUUGAGGAAGGAAGCCAAUAUCUGAAGCCACUCAUGGUGCUCUACUUUGUCCACUCUAUAAUGAAAAGAAGAAGUAUUCGUGAAUGUGCCCUUUUUUUCUUCUUCUGAAGCUAUCAUCUUUAUUUAUUUGGGUUUUGAUUUUUUUGCUUUCAUAUCUUUUUAGUGUUCUAUUCUGAAGAUGUUUUAAGUGAGAUAAAGCGGAUUCGCCACAGGUUCUGGAGAGCUGUAGAGGAAGAGCCAUGCACAGGUCGAGCUUCUCUCAAGUUUUUUCCCAUAAUUUUCAUGGUGCAGCCUCGGAUUACAGCAGCUACUAUGAAGUUCACAUCCAAAAUUUACUCAUUCUAAGUGACAACGGAGAAGUUAAGGAAAAGAAUAAGAACAAGUGCUACUUCUGCAUUGUCCUCUGCACACUUGAUAUUUUAUAUUUUUUAGAACAAUGUUUAUUUUGAGUCAUUUAUGUUCUCAUUGAACUGAGGUUUUUUUUUUCUUUUCUUUGCUGUGUUGAUUAUUGAAGCAACUUACUAAGGUGUCUGAACGGGAAGAACAUUGAGGGUAUUCCAUGUGAGAGCUUGAACAUCACAAAAAUAUGAUUGAACACUGAGCAUAGGAAGAGUUAUACGCAGGUGUCUGAACGGAAAGAACAUUCAGGGUAUUCCAUGUGAGAGCUUGAAUAUCACAAAAUAUGAUUGAACACUGAGCAUAGGAAGAGCUAUACGCAGGUGAUGACUCAAGAUCAAGGUUUGGAACUAAAAGUUGUACAAGGGAUUGUUCACUCUCCUGGGUCACCUUGAUUACAUCCGCACUGUCCUCACUGGCCAGGAGAGCUUGAAGAAUGUUUGGAUCAUUGGUACCCGCCUUUCAUUGAGUGGGUUCUUUAUGUUGGGAGCACAUUGUUUGAUGGCGGAGAUGAGGAGAGGAGAAGCACUUCAGCUCAACUCGACCUUCAGAACAAGGAAGAAUCAAAGAAAGGGAUUCAGCAAUAGCUUAAUGCACUAUUACAAAAUUUUGAUCCAAACACGCGGUUCUGUUUCUCGCGGCCUCAUCGACUCAGCUGGCUGCUUUGUGUUGGUGGAAAGUAUAUGUAUCCCAUGUUUCUAUGCAGUAUAUGCAUGCAUGAGAUUGGCCUGGGAAGAUGGGUUCUGCAACUUUGCUGCCUCAGCAGACCUGAAGUAACUCUGGCAGUUGUCCUACCUCAUCAGUUUGAGGUAAUGGUGAAUUCCGGCCAUAUCAAGGGCUGCAACCGGAGCUCUUCUUCAAGAUGUCACAUGAGAUCUAUAACUAUGAAGAAGGUUGAUAGGAACUGUGGCUGCAGAUCACACCUUAAGGUCAAUUAUGUUCAGAGUUGGUGGAAGAAUGAGCAUAGGAAAUGCAUUCCAUAAGGGCAGUUGCACACCCAAAAGAAGGACACAAGAAGAUUUUAAGGCCCUUACUGAGUAAGAUAGCCACCACUAGGUUGGAGUUCUCAAAAGCACUUCCUUUUGCAGCUAUCACGUCUAUGCUUCUGAAGAUGUGACAAAGCUUUAGAUCAUAGUAUACUUUGGGGAAGUUGUCAUGCUUUACAGGUUCAGAGAUACAAAGCUUAUAUCAUAUUAUACAUUGGGAAAAUUGUCAUGCUCUACAAGAGUUCAGAGAUGAUGAUGAGAUUCUUCUGACUUAUGAGAGACUAAAAAUGCAUAUGUAGCUCACACAUAUUUCAUACAAUAAUAUAUUUUGACUAUCUUCAUGCAAUGUAUUUCAAACACAUUUAUGAAUUAUGUGAAUAGUUUAUUUUGAUCUA